rnacentral:rRNA from 1 species
AUUGAACGCUGGCGGCAGGCCUAACACGUGCAAGUCGAGCGAGCGGCGGACGGGUGAGUAAUGUAUGGGGACUGCCCGAUAGAGGGGGAUAACUACUGGAAACGGUGGCUAAUACCGCAUACUGGCGGAUAACCCAUAUGGGAUUAGCUAGUAGGUAAGGUAAUGGCUUACCUAGGGGACGACCCCUAGCUGGUCUUAGAGGAUGAUCAGCCACACUGGGACUGAUACGCGGCCCAGACUCCUACGGCGGCAGCAGUGGGGAAUAUGGCACAAUGGCCGCAAGCCUGAUGCAGCCAUGCCGCGUGUAUGAAGAAGGCCCUAGGGUUGUAAAGUACUUUCAGUCGGGAGGCGUUACCGACAGAAGAAGCACCGGCUAACUCCGUGCCAGCAGCCGCGGUAAUU